rfam:Stegodyphus mimosarum contig123082, whole genome shotgun sequence.
GCCUUCGUGGUGUAGUGAUCAGCACGCUGGGCGCGUAUUCCAGAGGCCCGUGGUUCAAGUCCCGGCGAAGGCG